UACAGAGGGGGCAAGCGUUAUUCGGAAUUAUUGGGCGUAAAGGGCGCGUAGGCGGCUUGGCAAGUGGAAGGUGAAAUCCCUCGGCUUAACCGAGGAACUGCCCUCCAAACUGCUUUGCUUGAGGCCGGGAGAGGUAAGUGGAAUUCCCAGUGUAGCGGUGAAAUGCGUAGAUAUUGGGAGGAACACCAGUGGCGAAGGCGGCUUACUGGACCGGUUCUGACGCUGAGGCGCGAAAGCGUGGGGAGCGAACAGG
rnacentral:rRNA from 1 species